GUAAACGCAAAGAAGAGCACAAGUAAGUUUGAUUUUGCUGCAUAGAGAGACCCUGUUUGCUGAAAAGGGGAGAGCAGGUUAGACUGAAUACGGCUUGGAGCGGCACACCGAAAUUAUAGUAGGCUGUGACGGGAUGCGCCCGAUAUUGCGCUUGAGUUUCAAACUCACCGAGGCCGGCUUCGUGAGGGGCUGGCGUAUAGAGGUGGUACCGCGUUAAUUCGCCCUCUGU
rnacentral:ncRNA from 1 species